UACGAAGGGGGCUAGCGUUGUUCGGAAUUACUGGGCGUAAAGCGCGCGCAGGCGGCUAUCCAAGUCAGUGGUGAAAGCCCGGAGCUCAACUCCGGAACUGCCAUUGAAACUGUUUAGCUGGAGUAUGAGAGAGGUGAGUGGAAUUCCCAGUGUAGAGGUGAAAUUCGUAGAUAUUGGGAAGAACACCAGUGGCGAAGGCGACUUACUGGACACAUAUUGACGCUGAGGUGCGAAAGAGUGGGGAGCAAACAGG
rnacentral:rRNA from 1 species